UGGUGAAUCCGCCAACCGGGAAUGCGCGUCGGGCCUCGAUGCGGCAGUCUGACUGGAAGCGGACGCAGCUUACGGCGUCGCAGAAAUUGCUGGUCCUGAAGCACACUGCGGGCGUUGACCCGAUUUUCCCCUGGCUCCUUCCUCCGACUAGGAAAGAGGGCUACCUUAUAAUAAUAGGAAGAGCCCCGCGCCACCAAUGCGGAGCCGCCUUACACUGAGGCCGCCAACGAGAUUUUUGGCGUCGCAGUGGCCUGCAGGGUCAGCGUUAGCGUCCCUCCCUCCAUUCUUCUACCUGUACCUUCUCCGAUGCUAGCAAAAGGCAGUCAUUACUCUAUAGGAAAGUUAACAGGGGACUAAAGAGAACAGCCACAAAGUGCAAUGUGUGAUCUUGAAUUGGAUCCUGGAAGAGGAGGUCAAAAUUGCUAUAAAGGAUAUUCUGGGGGCAGUUGAUGAAAUUCAAAUAUAAGCAAUAUGUUAGGAUGGAGAGUGCGGCUGAAAAUUCCAAGCUUCUAAUCGUGGCUUGGUCUUUCUCGUGAACAGCCUGCCUCUAGGAGCCAUGCAGGAGCCCACCCAGAGUCACCUCAAUAGAACAAAAGAUAUGCCUAGUGCUCUCUCUUAUCACUUAGGAAUUUACAAAGGUUUCAGUAGCUCUGUAUCAGGAACUGGGGGCAGAGACCAAUAUAAGUUUUCUGUUAUUUCACAGCUAUAUCAGAGAAUGUCCUUGUUUAAAGGACAUAGAUACUGAACUAUUUAGACAUAAGGGAGCAUGAUGUUUGUUGAUUCAUUAAAAUUUUAUGUAUAGAUAAAAAAUAGAAAGUGAGAUAAGCAAAUGUAGCAAAUCAUUAACAAUUGCUGAAGCUGUACUAUUCUUGAAGCUCUUUAAAGUUUAAAAUUAUUUUAAAAUACAGGUGGUUGUACAGGUGGUUGGCAGGGGACAUGAAUUUUUAUGACUGUUUGUCCUAUGGCAACAUAAAAAUUGAGGAGAAAUGGAAACCCCAUUUGAAAGUAAGGGCAUUCUGGCAACAGAAAUCCAAGGAUCUGGUGGAUGGUUGAGAAUUAGGAAAAAAUGCCCCUUCCAUUCAAAUCCAUUCUCCCUCGAAGCAUUAGUGCUCUAAGUCAAUCUUUCAACAAAGACCACAGAUGCUGGUGGUUUCUCAUUCUCCCCUAAAGCAUGGGGGACAUAUAAACUGCCUGAUAAAAACUUUAAGAACAAGCAAACAAUCAACAGCAUUUCCAAAGCUCCUUUACACCAAGAUCACGAGUUUCUAAAUCACCAAGAACACUUCCAUAGAAGACCUUUGACUGGGAGAAUGAAAUUGUGUUUAAAAGGGACACAAAUAGGUUAUAAAUCAGAAUAUUGCAAAAGCAGAGAUUAGUUGUGAGAAAACAAAAUCACUUAUAUACUAGGAGAAAUACUCAUUGAAGCAUCAAUAUAUGUUCCAUCCCCCAUGGACUUAUUUUAUCCAACUAGCCAUCACCAAUUUUGAAAGAGGAUGAAAAACUAACUUUCAAAUUUCUCUUCUUCAGCAGGCAUGUAUAUGACUAAUACAAGAAAUAAGGAUUAAAUGAUUUGAUAUAGGCAAUGUGUUCAGAACAAUGCCAGGUGCAUAGUACAUUCUCAACUAAAAUUAUUUUUUAAAAGAGAUAAAAAUAUUAGCUAAGCAGUGUUGAGAUUGAGUCCCAUUUAAACCAUAGUUGCCUGGGAACAAGUAAGAACCCAUUGCAAACUGUCCUAAGGAUCUAGAACUUCAUCCAAUGCAGGAGGAAUUUUGCCCUAGAGAGUCAUGGAUUUGGGAGUCGAGAAAUGCUGGGAUCAAACUAAAAGACAUUUUUAAUGCUUUGGUUCUCAGGUCUGACCCUUCCCAUUUUCUUGGGGGAUCCAAGAACCUCAGCAGCUGGCUAUUUUGAUGUUUGCCCAGGAUAGGACAAUGGUGAAAAAGGUCAACCCUAGCAGGACAAUGUCUGGGUUUGGUCCCAACGCUUCCCGGAAGCAUGACCUUGAGAAUUUCUGUGCCUUGAUUUCCUUCACUGCAUAAUGGAGCUAAUGAUAGUAUUCAAAUGGGGCUUAGGUUAUUGGGAGAAUUAAAUGAGCAAACGUGGAAAAUUCCUAGAACAGUGUGCAUCUAACGCAUUACAGGUAAUCAACAGAUGUUAGCAAGCAUUGUUAUAGUUUACUUCUGCAGCAACGACUAACUCUUCCAGUUUGCCCAGGGUUGCUUUGACUCUUCAGUUUCAAAACUGAAAGUCCCACAUCCUGGGAGAGGCUUCAGUCCCAGGCAAACAGGGACAGCUGGUCACCCUAUGUACACCAGACUAGCUUUGCCAAUCCACUUUGGAAGGGCUACUACAAAAAUUGUGUUAGCAGAUGUUGGCAGAGUCCGUUGGUUCAAGAUGAUUCUGAAGAGUGUGUUUUAAGGCUGCCUUUCCAAUAUUCCUCCUCUUUGUGGCUUUUCCUGAUUCACUCAGGGCCCUCACCCCACAUCCAUGCUUAAAACUAAGCUCCCCGAACUUUUUUCCCAUGUCAUUUCUCAUGCAUAACUAGUUGGACUCUUUCCUCAUUCACCUCCUCUUGAGACUAUCAAGGUCCAAAGGGCAGAAGUUUUGUCCUGUUUCUACACAUGCAAUCAACACUGGUGGGUUGAAUGUAAUUUUGCUUUCCCGGAUUUGAAUGGGAGGGUCUGGAUUAAUUUGCCUCUGCAUAGUAUUUCCAUAAAGGUGAGGCUUUUUCCAGGUAGAUAGUGCUAUGUGACCUUGGCCAAGUUACUUAACCCCUCUGGGCCAUAUAAUAAAUAAUGUCAGUGAUGUUGUCAUUGUUAUUGUUACUCAUAUUAGGCAUAGGAAAAACUGACUUUGGAAAAUGGCAGAGCGAGGAUUUCAACCCAAGUAGUCUGUCCCCAAUCUUAAGAGCCUGGGCUCUGGACUUCCCUGGUGGCGCAGUGGAUGAGAAUCUGCCUGCCAAUGCAGGGGACACAGGUUCAAGCCCUGGUCUGCAAAGAUCCCACAUGCCACGGAGAAACUAAGCCCAUGUGCCACAACUACUGAGCCUGUGCUCUAGAGCCCACGAGCCACAGCUACCGAGCCUGCAUGCCACAACUACUGAAGCCCGCGCACCUAGAGCCUGUGCUCUGCAACAAGAGAAGCCACCGCAAUGAGAAGCACGCGCACCUCAACGAAGAGUAGCUCCCAUUCACCGCAACUAGAGAAAGCCCGCGCAGAGCAACAAAGACCCAAUGCAGCCAAAAAUAAGUAAAAUUUUUUUUAAAAAAGAGUCUGAGCUCUUAACGAUUUUUCUUGAUUUCUUAAGUUGAGAAAAAAGAAAGAGCAAAAAUAGAUGAGAAGACAUACAGGAGGAAAUAUAGUAUGUUAAUGGGUUUGAGUGCAGAUACACAGAAGCAAGGUCAAUAAUUCACAGAUUCAAUUUUAGCUUUAUCUUUUUUUAAGCAUAAGAAAAAUAGGGGAGGUGUAAUUUCUUUAAUAGUUUUCUGUUUAAAGGAAGCAAAAGUUCAGUCCAGAGACCUGCCUUUCUCUCUUACCCACUACCAGAUGUUCAUAAAGACAUAUUAAGUAAGAUUUGAUUUUCUACCAAAGCCAAACUGGGAAUUGCAAAGACAGGAUGAAAGAAAAAAUAUUCUUUGAGACUGUUCUUUCUAUCAUAAUUUUUUAAUAUCUUGGGUAUAUACUUAUUUUCACACUGAGUUAUAUAUGUCCUUAAUAUAUUUAAUCAUUUGUUUUUCUUUUGUGCUUUUAUAAUUAAUUUUGGGGGGCUUUUAUAAUUAAUUUGAACAAUACAUAUCUCCAGGUUUCUGGUAAACAAAUAUAGCAAUAUAGCUGAAUUUUUUCUGAAAGCAAUAUAGUAUUCAUUGAUAAAGUUCCUAAGAAAAUGGAAGGAUAGGGAGUUCCCUAGUGGUCUAGUGGUUAGGAUAUGACACUUUCACUGCCAUGGCCUGGGUUCAAUCCCUGGUCAGGGAACUGAGAUCCCCCAAGCUGUGUGGUGUGGCCAAAAAAACAAAAACGAAAAAAAUAGAGGGAUAAAUAGGGUUUCAACAUAUUAGCUCAAAACAAAACAAACAAAACAGCAACCACAACAAAACGUCCUAAAUGUACCCUCUUCACACUUCUGACAUGUGUGACGCUGGUUUGUUUGCCAACAUUAACUUCUUUUUCACAAAUGUACUUAGUUUAGAAAAACCCUCCUAUUGAUGUCACCUCAGUAAGUUGUGUUUUUCAAAGAAUUUGCCCAUUUCAUAUAAAUUUUAAAUUAUGGACAUAAAGUUGUUCAUUAUAUCUUCUGAUUAUUAUUGGUUCAAAUGUAUAGAGUUAUGUAACCAUCACCACAAUCACAAUAUAGAACAUUUCCAUAACCCCCCUCCCCUCAAAUUUUCCUCGUGCUCCUUUGCAGCCAGUCCCUUCUCCCAGUCUCCCCAACCAUAGACAGUUGUUGAUCUGGACUCUGACACUAUCGUUUUGCCUGUUCUGGAAUUUCAUAUAAAUUGAAUCUUAAAAUUUGUAGUCUUUUGUGUCUGGAUUCUUUCACUUAGCAUAAAGCUUUUGAGAUUUAUCCAUGUUGAACGUGUGUAUAUCAAUAAUUUGUUCCUUUUUCUGAGUAAAAUUCCAUUGGAUGGCUCUACAGCAAUUUGUUUUUUCAUUUAUGAGUGACAGAAAUUUGGGUUAUUUCCGAUUUGGGGCUAUUAUGAAUAAAG